AUGGGAAUGGCAGAGCUCCAUAGGCCCCUGAAGGAUGGGCUUCUUCCAUCCCCACACCCCAGCCCUGCUCUCCUGGGUCUGCAUUUCUGUCCCAACGGGGUGUUAAUGAGACAGACACAGACUCGGUUUCAAAUUCUGCUUCUGCUUCUCACCAGCUGUGACUUUGGCAAGUUCUUUAAAUUCCUUGAGACUCUGCUCCCUUUGGGCAUCAUGGGACGACGGACAAGGCCGCCACAGCAGCUACCUGGUGGAGGUGGUGGGAGCACUGCAGGGAACCAGAGCAGAGAGGAGCACCGUGGUGGGCUCUCAACGGUGACCCAGGAGACUCUUUCUGCACACACGUCAGAAUGGAGAGCAGGCUUCCAGGAGGGUGAAGAGCAGGGCUGCCAUGUUGCUUCAGACCAUGGUGAACCAACCUCAGGGAAAACAGAAGGAAGAGGUGAGCUGGCCCGGUGAGCCGUGCUGGCUAGGUGACCCAUGUCAGCCAGGUGAGCCACCAUCCAGAGUCCAGAGCAGAGACCUCCAACUAGGGUGUUGA
rnacentral:lncRNA from 1 species